UACGGACGCGGCAAGCGGUAUCCGGAAUUAUUGGGCGUAAAGCGUCCGUAGGUGGUUCACCAAGUCUGCUGUCAAAGGGUGGGGCUUAACCUCAUAAAGGCAGUGGAAACUGGUGAGCUAGAGUGCGGUAGGGGUAAGGGGAAUUCCCAGUGUAGCGGUGAAAUGCGUAGAGAUUGGGAAGAACAUCGGUGGCGAAAGCGCCUUACUGGGCCUGCACUGACACUGAGGGACGAAAGCUAGGGGAGCGAAAGGG
rnacentral:rRNA from 1 species